CCUACGGGUGGCAGCAGUCGAGAAUCAUUCACAAUGGGGGAAACCCUGAUGGUGCGACGCCGCGUGGGGGAAUGAAGGUCUUCGGAUUGUAAACCCCUGUCAUGUGGGAGCAAAUUAAAAAGAUAGUACCCCAAGAGGAAGAGACGGCUAACUCUGUGCCAGCAGCCGCGGUAAUACAGAGGUCUCAAGCGUUGUUCGGAAUCACUGGGCGUAAAGCGUGCGUAGGCUGUUUCGUAAGUCGUGUGUGAAAGGCGCGGGCUCAACCCGCGGACGGAACAUGAUACUGCGAGACUAGAGUAAUGGAGGGGGAACCGGAAUUCUCGGUGUAGCAGUGAAAUGCGUAGAUAUCGAGAGGAACACUCGUGGCGAAGGCGGGUUCCUGGACAUUAACUGACGCUGAGGCACGAAGGCCAGGGGAGCGAAAGGGAUUAGAUACCCCUGUAGUC
rnacentral:rRNA from 1 species